AUCUAAUGUCCUUAAUGAAAUGCUGCGUGACCGUUUGGUCUGUGGCAUACGGAACGAGUUGCUGCAACCUUGCUUCUCAGUGAGCCGGGGCUGACGCUCCAGUCGGCGGAGCAGCUGGCCCAGGCACACGAGUCGGCGGCAGCGAGUGCGGCUGAGCUCAGCGGCGGUGCUGAGCAGCGAGCAGAUGGAGCCUCCGUUCAUCGGCUGACUGGUGCCCGGGGUCCGCUGCGGCUGCGUAGCAGUUCCAGGGGUGCCGGUGCUGCCCGCGCUCCUGCCGGCUACAGGGACGGCGGUGGCGGCGCAGCAGACUCCAGAGCUGGUGGUCGGCUGCGCUCUCAGCGUGACAGGACGACGCCCGGGCCAGGUGACAGCACGGCGGCGAGCUGUUUCAGGUGCCUGAGGUAUCAUCAGCCGGACACGUGCUCGUUCAUCGAUAAGGUGUGCUACAGCUGUGGCCUCAGGGGUCACGUCCGAGCUGCCUGCAGGAAGAACCAGCAGCACCUCCGCCAUGUCUCGGCUGAUGGCGACGCGUUACAAGGGUCGGACGCGCAGGAGGGUAGCAGAGAGGACGGCACUACGCAACCGAGGAGUUCUAGUCCCGGGACCGGUGAGGAGGUGUACAGCAUUUUCACCGUCCGGACCGGCCUCAGUGUCAGGCGACCGCCGCUGAUGGUGCCGGUAGCGCUCGACGGUCAGAAGGUCGAGAUGGAGCUGGACCGACUCUGUCGGUCUGCUCUGACGCCGGGUUUCGGCAGCUCUGGCCCUGUGGAGGGCCGAAGCUGGAACCGUGUUCGGUGAAGCUGAAGACCUACAGCGGUGAGCAGCUGCCAGUCAUGGGGCAGGCUGCAGUGAACGUUCAGUACGGCGGACAGGCUCAGCGACUCCCUCUCAUCGUAGUCGAAGGUGGCGGGCCCUGGCUGUUCGGCAGGAACUGGCUGGGACACAUCAGGCUCGACUGGCCCUCCAUCUGUUGAGUGACUGCGGAGACCCGUGUGCAGCCCAUCCUGGACGAGUUCGCUGACGUCUUCAAGGAGGAGCUGGGCUGCUAUCGAGGCGGGGAAGUCGGCAUCGACGUAGACCCGGACGUCCAGCCUCGUUCCUUCAAGCCUCGCACCGUACCGCUGGCCUUUAGGGAAGCUGUGGACGCCGAGCUGGAGGACCAGAUCCGUGGCGGACUCUGGGAACAGAGUGACACCGAUACCUGCUCCUGAUCCGGUCACGGAGAGCGCCGCUGCAUCUACACGGCAUGCUCCCGUUCCCGGACAAUUACUGGCCUCCACUCCCGACCGGCUGCCGGCUCCUGAUCGAGCGCCUGCUCCUGGCCGGCCGCCUGUUCCGGCGCCGCCAGGGCUGACCGGAGCGGUGCCCGCGCCGGGUGUGACCACCGUCCCGCCGUCCGCACCCUCUCCCAGCGCGCCGCGGUACCGGCUGAGAGACCGGUCCACCCUGCGGCCCCCAGACCGAUGCGUGGCGAGCUAUGAGUAGGCGUUUUGUUUCAGUUGUUAUUUGUUCUGUGAGGUGCAUAUUUAUUUGUUUGUCCAUGCUGUGCAAGUAUUCUUGGUGGAGGAGUGUCAUGGAGCUGAGCUGGCGGCCGCCGCGCCGGUGCACGCGUACUUGCGCUCGUGACAUGCGCUCAUGACACUCGUAUGUGAACCGUGGUGGCGUUGCCUCUGUGACCCGGGGGCUACCUGGCCGGCUCGAAUACAGUUUGGACCGAGA
rnacentral:lncRNA from 1 species